rnacentral:tRNA from 1 species
GGAGAGAUGGCUGAGUGGUCGAAAGCAGUGGUUUGCUAAACCGCCGAGGUGGGUUCCCCUGCCUCCGAGGGUUCGAAUCCCUCUCUCUCCGCCA